AUGACAGGUAUUGCUGAAGUAGAGGGUAGCCACAAGGGAUUUGAAAGUGCCUCUGGUAAAAGGGAUCCUUUGACUCCUUCUGUAUUUCUUUUAACAUCUGAAAAAGUCUCUUCAACGUCCUGUCUUGCAAAGGAUUUCUACCCCGAAGAUGUGGAGAUGUACUUCAAUUCCAGUAUGUCAGAGUCCGAUACUGUUAAGGUGAAUCCGGUCCUGACAAGGAAAGGCCUUUACAAUGCUGUUCUUGUAAAGAAUACACAGUCAACAGAGUGUGGAGUUAAACACCAAGGAAAAUGGGUGAUGAGCCAGAAAUAUUCAGUAGCCGAAGUGGAAAAUGAGACACAACACACUGAAAUACAGACUGCUGGUGCAGAUUAUGAGAACUGCUUAGAACCACCUGCUGACGUAACUGAUCAUCAUAUUAAUAUUCUUUCACUGACUGUCCUGGGAAUGAGAGUGCUGCUUGUCAAAGCUCUGGUCUUUAACUUCUUACUGAGUGUAAAGAUGAUUUGUUUAUAA